GCGGGGAUAGCUCAGCUGGGAGAGCGUCAGACUGAAGUCCACUUCUGUCUUCCGAUCAUCUGAAGGUCGUGUGUUCGAUCCACACUCACCGCA
rnacentral:tRNA from 1 species